rnacentral:rRNA from 1 species
UACGAAGGGGGCUAGCGUUGCUCGGAAUUACUGGGCGUAAGGCGCACGUAGGCGGCUUUCUAAGUCGGGGGUGAAAUCCUGGAGCUCAACUCCAGAACUGCCUUCGAUACUGGAGAGCUCGAGUCCGGGAGAGGUGAGUGGAACUCCUAGUGUAGAGGUGGAAUUCGUAGAUAUUAGGAAGAACACCAGUGGCGAAGGCGACUCACUGGUCCGGUACUGACGCUGAGGUGCGAAAGCGUGGGGAGCAAACAGG